UACGGGGGGGGCAAGCGUUGUUCGGAAUUACUGGGCGUAAAGGGCUCGUAGGCGGCCAACUAAGUCCGACGUGAAAUCCCAAGGCUUAACCUUGGAACUGCGUCGGAUACUGGAUGGCUUGAAUUCGGGAGAGGGAUGCAGAAUUCCAGGUGUAGCGGUGAAAUGCGCAGAUAUCAGGAAGAACACCCGUGGCUAAGGCGGCUCUCUAGUACGGUACUGACGCUGAGACACGAAAGCGUGGGGAUCAAACAGG
rnacentral:rRNA from 1 species